GGAUGAGCCCGCGUAGGAUUAGCUAGUUGGUGUGGUAAAGGCGCACCAAGGCGACGAUCCUUAGCUGGUCUGAGAGGAUGAUCAGCCACACUGGGACUGAGACACGGCCCAGACUCCUACGGGAGGCAGCAGUGGGGAAUAUUGGACAAUGGGCGAAAGCCUGAUCCAGCAAUGCCGCGUGAGUGAUGAAGGCCUUAGGGUUGUAAAGCUCUUUUACCCGGGAUGAUAAUGACAGUACCGGGAGAAUAAGCUCCGGCUAACUCCGUGCCAGCAGCCGCGGUAAUACGGAGGGAGCUAGCGUUAUUCGGAAUUACUGGGCGUAAAGCGCACGUAGGCGGCUUUGUAAGUAAGAGGUGAAAGCCUGGUGCUCAACACCAGAACUGCCUUUUAGACUGCAUCGCUUGAAUCCAGGA
rnacentral:rRNA from 1 species